CAGAUGUGAGGUUAAAGGUUAUGGGGUUAGGAGGGAGUAGAGAAGAUGGAAGAGAGUGGACGGUUAGUCCAAUGACAUUAGUUGACAGGAGAUAAUUCACUGUUAUUAGCUCCAUCUCUAGGCUAUUAGAGUGGAGGGUCACUGAUAUAAGUUGUCUGAUAGAUAACUUAGUAGUGAAUAACAGUCUGUAUCUACUAGUUUAGUGAGUAGAAAAUCGAGUCUAGUAGUACAGGCAAGCGCGGGAGCCAUUUUAGCUAGCUGACCUGCAUGAGCCUGCCUAGGCACAAUUGCAUGUUAAACAGUAGUUCACUGUGUAAAUGCUUGGACUUUGCCAAACUGAUUCGAUUGGACACCGGAGAGUUCGCUGUUCACUUGGAUAAGGUAGACAGAAGAAUUAGCUCGACAGAACAGCCAAGAGCUCACCAGUGUGUGCCAGGAGCAACGUGGCUGCUCGCUUCUACUAUGAUACCAACAACUCGAUGGAACUCCGCCACCAUUCCACUGCAACAGGGCCCCAUCCAAAUGCUGUCAGUCUCACAGGCGGUUUAUGAAUGGAGAUUGGCGCAUCCAUUCAUGCCACGUGGAGAGAUGAAGUGGAAAUAGAGAAGUUUCAUUGAAAGGCUUUUUGCUUUCAGCCGGAUGGUGUUUUAAGUAGAGGGCAAAUUAGCCGUCAAUGUGGCACGUAUAGCGGCACACACAGACACACACACACACACACACACAGUAAUAUGUUUGUGUGCCUUCAUGGAAGUGGGGAAAUGGGUGGACUGCAUGGAGCUGCCAAGAGACACUUCACAAAUACGAGGAAAAAUCCAGCGUAUUCAGGAUUUUUUUUUACACGCUGUGGGGAAUAAUCAGUGUUCGCACAGAGAGCUUAAAGCGCAAAUGUAUACUUCCCACAGCAGCAUUAUCAUCACUAUGGCCAUCAUCAUCAUCAUUUUUAUGGAUGACAACCUCUACAACUACGCAUCUCUAACCCUUGAUUACAUGCCACUUGCAUUCCAGAAGAUCCUAAUAUCAGUGAAUAAUUUAUUUUUAUUUUUGUUUUUGUUUUUUGAUGCGUUAUGGAAUACAGACAUAAGUUGUAAUUAUUGUAAUCAUAAAUACAUGAUGGUAUGAAGAGGUGUGGAGGUUUCACUGAAUUUAAUUCUAAUAGAGAACUGUGCUGUCGCUCCUCGUCUGCAUGGGACUGGAGAAUUUACCCCUUACUUCCGGGCAAACAUAAACAAGGUGGCGAGGGAGAGCCAAUCAAAAUACAUAUCUCCCAUUCACCACGGUCUGCCCCCUCGGUGACAGCUACCCCCCAGCUUUUCAUAUGGUAAGGCAGAGAUGUGGGAGUUAGUCUCUGAAGAGCGUCGAUUAAAUGAGAUGUGCACACAAUGAGCACAAACAAUGGCCGCCAGCGGGUCUGAGAGCUCUCUCAGCUCUGCAUAUGUAAUGCCAGUCUGAGUGCAUCAAAUGCCAGGCGCAUUAAUGCCGGGGAUGGGGGCGCGUUGGCAGGGGGCAUCCAGACUUCCCUCCCCCCAUCCCUGAGUGGACCUGGCCUUUGGUCACCCUGGAAAUGAGGUGUGUUUGUGUCUAUGUUCAUGCACAUGUGUCUGUGUGUGUGUGUGUGUGUGUGUGUGUGUGUGUGUGUGUGUGUGUGUGUGUGUGUGUGUGUGUGUGUGUGU
ensembl:lncRNA